rnacentral:rRNA from 1 species
CCUACGGGGGGCAGCAGUGAGGAAUAUUGGUCAAUGGGCGAAAGCCUGAACCAGCCAAGUCGCGUGAGGGAGUCCUGCCCUAUGGGUUGUAAACCUCUUUUGUCGGGGAGCAAAAGCCGGACGUGUCCGGCUGUGAGAGUACCCGAAGAAAAAGCAUCGGCUAACUCCGUGCCAGCAGCCGCGGUAAUACGGAGGAUGCGAGCGUUAUCCGGAUUUAUUGGGUUUAAGGGGGGCGCAGGCGGAUUUUUAAGUCAGCGGGAAAAUCGUGGGGCUCAACCCCAUCCAGCCGUUGAAACUGGGGAUCUAGAGUGUGCGAGAGGUAUGCGGAAUGCGUGGUGUAGCGGUGAAAUGCAUAGAUAUCACGCAGAACCCCGAUUGCGAAGGCAGCAUACCGGUGCACAACUGACGCUCAGGCACGAAAGCGUGGGUAUCGAACAGGAUUAGAUACCCGUGUAGUC